rnacentral:rRNA from 1 species
AUUGAACGCUAGCGGGAUGCUUUACACAUGCAAGUCGAACGAGUGGCGGACGGGUGAGUAAUAUAUCGGAACGUGCCCAGUAGAGGGGGAUAACUACUCGAAAGAGUGGCUAAUACCGCAUACUAUUGGAGCGGCCCAGAUCGGAUUAGCUAGUUGGUGGGGUAAAGGCUCACCAAGGCGACGAUCCGUAGCUGGUUUGAGAGGACGACCAGCCACACUGGGACUGAGACACGGCCCAGACUCCUACGGGAGGCAGCAGUGGGGAAUUUUGGACAAUGGGUGAAAGCCUGAUCCAGCCAUCCCGCGUGUAUGAGAAGGCCUUCGGGUUGUAAAGUACUUUUGGCAGAGAGGCGGUAUCUGCAGAAUAAGCACCGGCUAACUACGUGCCAGCAGCCGCGGUAAUUC